rnacentral:rRNA from 1 species
CCUACGGGAGGCAGCAGUGAGGAAUAUUGGUCAAUGGACGAGAGUCUGAACCAGCCAAGUAGCGUGAAGGAUGACUGCCCUAUGGGUUGUAAACUUCUUUUAUAUGGGAAUAAAAUGUUCCACGUGUGGGAUUUUGUAUGUACCAUAUGAAUAAGGAUCGGCGAAUUCCGUGCCAGCAGCGGCGGUAAUACGGAGGAUCCGAGCGUUAUCCGGAUGUAGUGGGUUUAAAGGGAGCGUAGGUGGAUUGUUAAGUCAGUUGUGAAGGUUUGCGGCUCAACCGUAAAAUUGCAGUUGAAACUGGCAGUCUAGAGUACAGUAGAGGUAGGCGGAAUUCGUGGUGUAGCGGUGAAAUGCUUAGAUAUCACGAAGAACUCCGAUUGCGAAGGCAGCUCACUGGACUGCAACUGACACUGAGGCUCGAAAGUGUGGGUAUCAAACAGGAUUAGAUACCCGAGUAGUC